GAUGAAGAACGUAGCGAAAUGCGAUAAGUAAUGUGAAUUGCAGAAUUCAGUGUAUCAUCGAAUCUUUGAACGCACAUUGCGCCCCCUGGUAUUCCGGGGGGCAUGCCUGUCCGAGCGUCAUUACAACCCUCAAGCUCAGCUUGGUGUUGGGCCCCGCCGCCCCGGCGGGCCCUAAAGUCAGUGGCGGUGCCGUCCGGCUCCGAGCGUAGUAAUUCUUCUCGCUCUGGAGGUCCGGUCGUGUGCUCGCCAGCAACCCCCAAUUUUUUUCAGGUUGACCUCGGAUCAGGUAGGGAUACCCGCUGAACUUAAGCAUAUCAAUAAGCGGAGGA
rnacentral:misc_RNA from 1 species